UCUUCCUGACAGAUUCCCUAAAGCACCAGAUCCUGUCUGAUCUUGGAAGUUAAGGAGGGCCAGCCCUGUUUAGUACUUAGAUGGGAGACGGCCAGUGGAAAUACCAGGUGCUGUAGGCU
rnacentral:rRNA from 1 species